rnacentral:rRNA from 1 species
UGCCUAACCGCAAGGGGGGCGGUCGCCACGGUGAGAUUCAUGACUGGGGUG